UGAAGCAACUUUAAGAUCCGCUGUGAGGAGCAACUAGGAAUGAUGGAAUAGGACCCCGGUUCCAUUUUGUGGGUUUUCCCUCCUGAACUGGGGCCAUGAUAGAGAGGGACAGCCUGAGGCAUACAUAUUGCACCACUUGAGGUGAAAGUCUUGGACCGGCGCAAGACAGGCCAGGGAAAAAGCAUUUGCCAAGAAUGUUUUCAUUAAUCAAGAACGAAAGUCAGAGGUUAAAAAAUGAUCAAAUAUAAAAAUGAAAGGAAUUGAUGGAAGGGUCACCACCAGAAGUGGAGCCUGCGGCUUAAUUUGACUCAACACGGGAAACCUCGGCCGGACACGGACAGGAUUGACAGAUUGACAGCUCUUUCUCCAUUCCGUGGGUGGUGGUGCAUGGCCGUGGGUGGUUGUGCAUGGCCGUUCUUAGUUGGAGCAAUUUGUCUGGUUAAUUCCAAUGACGAAUGAGAUGCCGGCAUGCUAAAUAGGUCGGCGGCCCCCGAGCGGUCGGUGGGCAACUUGUUAGAGGGACAAGUGGCGUUCUGCCACGUGAGAUUGAGCAAUAACAGGUCUGU